AAAGAUCUCAGCAUCUUGGCCAAAAAUGUAAGCUUUGAAACAUUGAUCCUAACCCCAAUUUCCCUGAAUUCCAAAAUCAUUCAGAAAAUCACAAACAUCUCCUUCAACUCAAAUUCCUUGCUUCUCCUUCAUUGAGGUUAGGCCUUGUUUCCUUUUAAUAUGAACCAAUCAAUGGUUUUACAUUUUGUGAUUUAUUUUAUUGUUGUUGUAAUCUGUAGUUGCAGUAGUUGAUUCUAUAGUUCUGUUUUCGAGAAAAUGCAAAUAAAAAUGAAUUUGAUUUUGUGUUUCGUUUUGGACGAUGAUUUUUUGUUUUGAAAUAGUUUUUUUUAUUGUAACGGAACCAGAAAUGUGC
rnacentral:lncRNA from 1 species